AUUGAACGCUAGCGGGAUGCUUUACACAUGAAAGUCGAACGAGUGGCGGACGUGUGAGUAAUAUAUCUGACCGUGCACAGUAGCGGGGGAUAACUACGAGAAAGAGUGGCAAAUACCGCAUACUAUUGAAGCGGCAGAUAUCGGAUUAGCUAGUUGGUGGGGUAAAGGCUCACCAAGGCAACGAUCCGUAGCUGGUUUGAGAGGACGAACAGCCACACUGGGACUGAGACACGGCCCAGACUCCUACGGGAGGCAGCAGUGGGGAAUUUUGGACAAUGGGGGAAACCCUGAUCCAGCCAUCCCGCGUGUAUGAGAAGGCCUUCGGGUUGUAAAGUUCUUUUGGCAGAGAAGCGGUAUCUACAGAAUAAGCACCGGCUAACUACGUGCCAGCAGCCGCGGUAAUUC
rnacentral:rRNA from 1 species